UGGGGAAUAUUGCACAAUGGGCGCAAGCCUGAUGCAGCCAUGCCGCGUGUAUGAAGAAGGCCUUCGGGUUGUAAAGUACUUUCAGCGGGGAGGAAGGGAGUAAAGUUAAUACCUUUGCUCAUUGACGUUACCCGCAGAAGAAGCACCGGCUAACUCCGUGCCAGCAGCCGCGGUAAUACGGAGGGUGCAAGCGUUAAUCGGAAUUACUGGGCGUAAAGCGCACGCAGGCGGUUGAUUGAGUCAGAUGUGAAAUCCCCGGGCUUAACCCGGGAAUUGCAUCUGAUACUGGUCAGCUAGAGUCUUGUAGAGGGGGGUAGAAUUCCAUGUGUAGCGGUGAAAGGCGUAGAGAUGUGGAGGAAUACCGGUGGCGAAGGCGGCCCCCUGGACAAAGACUGACGCUCAGGUGCGAAAGCGUGGGGAGCAAACAGG
rnacentral:rRNA from 1 species